rnacentral:rRNA from 1 species
GAUGAACGCUGGCGGCGUGCCUAAUACAUGCAAGUCGAGCGAACAGAUGAGGAGCUUGCUCCUCUGACGUUAGCGGCGGACGGGUGAGUAACACGUGGAUAACCUACCUAUAAGACUGGGAUAACUUCGGGAAACCGAAGCUAAUACCGGAUAAUAUAUUGAACCGCAUGGUUCAAUAGUGAAAGACGGUUUUGCUGUCACUUAUAGAUGGAUCCGCGCCGCAUUAGCUAGUUGGUAGGGUAACGGCUUACCAAGGCGACGAUGCGUAGCCGACCUGAGAGGGUGAUCGGCCACACUGGAACUGAGACACGGUCCAGACUCCUACGGGAGGCAGCAGUAGGGAAUCUUCCGCAAUGGGCGAAAGCCUGACGGAGCAACGCCGCGUGAGUGAUGAAGGUCUUCGGAUCGUAAAACUCUGUUAUUAGGGAAGAACAAAUGUGUAAGUAACUAUGCACGUCUUGACGGUACCUAAUCAGAAAGCCACGGCUAACUACGUG